AGAGUUUGAUCCUGGCUCAGAUGAACGCUGGCGGCAUGCCUUACACAUGCAAGUCGAACGGCAGCGCGGACUUCGGCCUGGCGGCGAGUGGCGAACGGGUGAGUAAUGCAUCGGAACGUACCUUUCAGUGGGGGAUAACGUAGCGAAAGUUACGCUAAUACCGCAUAUUCUGUGAGCAGGAAAGCAGGGGAUCGCAAGACCUUGCGCUGAUGGAGCGGCCGAUGUCAGAUUAGCUAGUUGGUGGGGUAAAGGCUCACCAAGGCGACGAUCUGUAGCGGGUCCUAGAGGAUGAUCCGCCACACUGGAACUGAGACACGGUCCAGACUCCUACGGGAGGCAGCAGUGGGGAAUUUUGGACAAUGGGCGCAAGCCUGAUCCAGCCAUGCCGCGUGAGUGAAGAAGGCCUUCGGGUUGUAAAGCUCUUUCGGCCGGGAAAAAAUCGCUUGGGUUAAUACCCUGAGUGGAUGAUGGUACCGGAAUAAGAAGCACCGGCUAACUACGUGCCAGCAGCCGCGGUAAUACGUAGGGUGCGAGCGUUAAUCGGAAUUACUGGGCGUAAAGCGUGCGCAGGCGGUUUUGUAAGACAGGCGUGAAAUCCCCGGGCUCAACCUGGGAACUGCGUUUGUGACUGCAAGGCUAGAGUAUGGCAGAGGGGGGUGGAAUUCCACGUGUAGCAGUGAAAUGCGUAGAGAUGUGGAGGAACACCAAUGGCGAAGGCAGCCCCCUGGGCCAAUACUGACGCUCAUGCACGAAAGCGUGGGGAGCAAACAGGAUUAGAUACCCUGGCAGUCCACGCCCUAAACGAUGUCAACUAGGUGUUGGGUGGGUAAAACCAUUUGGUACCGUAGCUAACGCGUGAAGUUGACCGCCUGGGGAGUACGGCCGCAAGGUUAAAACUCAAAGGAAUUGACGGGGACCCGCACAAGCGGUGGAUGAUGUGGAUUAAUUCGAUGCAACGCGAAAAACCUUACCUACCCUUGACAUGCCAGGAACUUGCCAGAGAUGGCUUGGUGCCCGAAAGGGAGCCUGGACACAGGUGCUGCAUGGCUGUCGUCAGCUCGUGUCGUGAGAUGUUGGGUUAAGUCCCGCAGCGAGCGCAACCCUUGUCGUUAAUUGCCAUCAUUUAGUUGGGCACUUUAACGAGACUGCCGGUGACAAACCGGAGGAAGGUGGGGAUGACGUCAAGUCCUCAUGGCCCUUAUGGGUAGGGCUUCACACGUCAUACAACGGUCGGUACGAAGGGUUGCCAAGCCGCGAGGCGGAGCCAAUCCCAGAAAGCCGAUCGUAGUCCGGAUCGCAGGCUGCAACUCGCCUGCGUGAAGUCGGAAUCGCUAGUAAUCGCGGAUCAGCUUGCCGCGGUGAAUACGUUCCCGGGUC
rnacentral:rRNA from 1 species